ACCUUUUCCUUGUCUGUGUCUCAUCGUUUUGCUCGGGUUGGAUCCAAAUUAGUUAAUUCAUCGUGCUGCUGUGAGUUUUGCCAGAUCCGAUUCAUAGUUCUUCAGAACAGCCAAGACAAGACUCGUCUGCCGAAGUAAUACAACUGUAUUUUCUAGGGUUGCCUCUCAUCUGACGUCGUUUACAGAGUCCCACUACCGACAAAAGAAGGCUCACGAUAGAGACAAAGCUUUCGUGUGCGCAUCUCCUUUCCUUCACGGGUUGAUGGCGUCGUUUGGACGAAAGAUUCAGGUGCAUGCAUAUGCUUUUCUUUAUGGGUUAUUGGCGGCUUCUACACGAUUUGUCUUGCAACCUUUUCAUCUUCCUUCUCUUCGUGCUCACUCUCAACUGGAUUAACAAAUUCUUUCCUCUUCUCUCUCGCAUCGUUCUCAACUGCAAUGAACGAAAAAAGGUGAGAUAAACGUAGGCAGAGUCAAAGGAGUUCUCGGCCGUGUCCUUCCCCCUCUCUCUGUUGAAGUUCUUACUCAAUUUUUCUUUGGUUGCAGAUCUGAUUCAUCUGCAGUUUAUCGUUGGUGUCACUAAUUUUCAGAUCCAGAGUUUGGCAAAGACGAUGAAGCCAGAUAAUGAACGCUUGUUCAUUUGUUUUGUUGCAAGGAUGAAGAGACUUUGCUGCUAAAUAUCUGGCCAUCAAAAGUUUCUUAGUUGAAAAAAAGGUCAAGAAAUUCCUGAACAUAUCUUGCCAAACAUUGUGGCAUCAAUUUAAUUGUCUCAUGUUCUGCUGGGGACUUCACUCUUCUUAUUGGAGAUUGCUACAAGAAUAAUCACUUGAUAUUGAAGGCUAUAUUAGAUGGCAGUCAUAGGCUUCCUUCCCCUAAUGGUGUCCUGAUUAACAGUGGCGGCAACGGUGCAUUUUUCACUUUUGAACAAGGUAUGUGCCUUGCCUGCUACUUUCGUUUUGUAAUUAACAAUUACACAACAUGAUGCAGAUUAAUAGCAACAAGACUUCAAUUUCAAGUAAAUUGGAAGACAUGACCACCAAAGAUGUUGGCGCGAGCUUCGAUUUGCUAUGAAAAGGCAGCAUAGGAGACACAACAGGCUCGGUGAGAGCCUCCUUGAAGACCAAAAUUGGAGAUAACGAGUGAGAUUGGGGACUUUUAGCGAAUGAUGCGAACUUAUGUUUGUAGUUAUUCACUCCUGCUCCUUUCACUGAUUGCAGAUCUGAGGCAGAGGUUUUUUUUUCAUUUUAUAUGUCCACAAGGACUCGUUGGUGAUAGACGGGUUAUGAUAAGACCUUGCGAGUUUUGUCAAUUGAGUCUUGCCUUCAUUGCCUGUUAUGAUUCUGAUUACGUGAAUUAGGGACUCUUUAGAUGAUUAACCAUUUUAGAUGUAUAGAUCAUGAUACAUAAGUUGUUAGUUUGAGGUAAAGAUAGAUCAUGAUAAUACAAAGGCAUUCACUCAUGUAAUACUCUAUUCAAUGUUAAUAAGAAAAGUUCGUUUCCGCUUCAAA